rnacentral:tRNA from 1 species
GUGCCCGGAGGGGGCUCAGUUGGAUAAAGGCCGCGCGGGUGUUGGCGCGGCGCCCCAAGAGCAUCGGCCUUCUAAGCCGACGGUCGGGGGUUCGAAUCCCUCUGGGCAGGCCA